UACGAAGGGGGCUAGCGUUGUUCGGAUUUACUGGGCGUAAAGCGCACGUAGGCGGAUCGUUAAGUCAGGGGUGAAAUCCUGGAGCUCAACUCCAGAACUGCCUUUGAUACUGGCGAUCUUGAGUCCGGAAGAGGUGAGUGGAACUCCUAGUGUAGAGGUGGAAUUCGUAGAUAUUAGGAAGAACACCAGUGGCGAAGGCGGCUCACUGGUCCGGUACUGACGCUGAGGUGCGAAAGCGUGGGGAGCAAACAGGGAUUAAGAA
rnacentral:rRNA from 1 species